rnacentral:rRNA from 1 species
UACGUAGGGGGCAAGCGUUGUCCGGAAUUAUAGGGCGUAAAGAGCGUGUAGGCGGCUUGGUAAGUCUGGUGUGAAACCUUGGGGCUUAACCCCAAGCCUGCACUGGAUACUGCCUCGCUAGAGUCCGGGAGGGGAGAGCGGAAUUCCCAGUGUAGCGGUGAAAUGCGCAGAUAUUGGGAAGAACACCAGUGGCGAAGGCGGCUCUCUGGAACGGUACUGACGCUGAGACGCGAAAGCGUGGGGAGCGAACAG